GAUGAACGCUGGCGGCGUGCCUAAUACAUGCAAGUCGAGCGAACAGACGAGGAGCUUGCUCCUCUGACGUUAGCGGCGGACGGGUGAGUAACACGUGGAUAACCUACCUAUAAGACUGGGAUAACUUCGGGAAACCGGAGCUAAUACCGGAUAAUAUAUUGUACCGCAUGGUUCAAUAGUGAAAGACGGUUUUGCUGUUACUUAUAGAUGGAUCCGCGCCGCAUUAGCUAGUUGGUAAGGUAACGGCUUACCAAGGCGACGAUGCGUAGCCGACCUGAGAGGGUGAUCGGCCACACUGGAACUGAGACACGGUCCAGACUCCUACGGGAGGCAGCAGUAGGGAAUCUUCCGCAAUGGGCAAAAGCCUGACGGAGCAACGCCGCGUGAGUGAUGAAGGUCUUCGGAUCGUAAAACUCUGUUAUUAGGGAAGAACAAAUGUGUAAGUAACUAUGCACGUCUUGACGGUACCUAAUCAGAAAGCCACGGCUAACUACGUG
rnacentral:rRNA from 1 species